rnacentral:rRNA from 1 species
AGUGAACGCUGGCGGUAGGCCUAACACAUGCAAGUCGAACGGCAGCACAGUAAGAGCUUGCUCUUACGGGUGGCGAGUGGCGGACGGGUGAGGAAUACAUCGGAAUCUACUUUUUCGUGGGGGAUAACGUAGGGAAACUUACGCUAAUACCGCAUACGACCUACGGGUGAAAGCAGGGGAUCUUCGGACCUUGCGCGAUUGAAUGAGCCGAUGUCGGAUUAGCUAGUUGGCGGGGUAAAGGCCCACCAAGGCGACGAUCCGUAGCUGGUCUGAGAGGAUGAUCAGCGACACUGGAACGGAGACACGGUCCAGACUCCUACGGGAGGCAGCAGUGGGGAAUAUUGGACAAUGGGCGGAAGCCUGAUCCAGCCAUACCGCGUGGGUGAAGAAGGCCCUCGGGUUGUAAAGCCCUUUUGUUGGGAAAGAAAAGCAGCAGGUUAAUACCCCGCUGUUCUGACGGUACCCAAAGAAUAAGCACCGGCUAACUUCGUG